ensembl:lncRNA
CUUGCCCAUCAGAGGUGGACCCACUCACCUGCCUGCUGAGGAUCCAGGCACCCAGCCUAUGUAGGCCCACAAGUUGCCUGAGGGCUUGCUGUUGGGUGAGCCCAAUCCCUGUGGCAGCUGCCUGUUCUAGCUGAGCUGGAUUAGAUCAAAGCUUUAGUGAGUGGGGCAGACCCUGGGCUAACAGGCCAGGGGAAAAACUCCAAUUGUUUCUGUCAGUAUCUAUGUCAGCAUGCUUGUAGCAUGUCACAGUAAUGACUGCUGCCAAUGUCUCAGUCCCUGGAGAGGUCUCACCUCUCACCAAGAUGCACCCAGAGCCUAUCAGCCCCACCCCUAAACCUGAAGAGUAGGUGACUUCACCCCUCAGUGAACACACUGUCUUGCCCACUGUGUUUCACCAGCACGUUUCUGAAGUGGAGCAAAUUAUAGCAACUCCUUGAACCCAGCUUUCUCCAUCUCAGAAGGUCAAGGGAUUAACUUCAGCACCUUAAAGGGGACUCGUCACCUGGAUUGAGGUACUAAAAGGACUUUUCUUCCAAUGCAGAAUCCUUCAAGCUGACAGGCAGACUGCCACACGCAGCACCUCAUUUGGACAUGUCUGGAGCUUUGGAAGUUUGGCUACCCUAUGCUCUACAAAUGGACCUUGAGAACUUAUUUGGACAUUCUAGCAAGAGAGAGCUCAGCUACUCAUAUACCCUACACUGAAGAAUGGUCCUCCUCUAUUGGGGAAAGUUGUCCUCUGAUGGAGUAUGCAGCUUCAGGAGGGACACCCAUGGAGUGUUGAGGGAGGAGGGGGACACCUCCCUCGCCAACCAGAUCAGCCAAGGCAACCCUGACAAUCAAUGGGGUGACAGAUGUCUCAGCCAGAUUGUCCUCACAUCCUCUUUUUAUUCUUAAAUUGCCUCUAACUGCAAUGCUUUUGAUCCUGGAAAUGGAUUAUGUACUAUGAAAGCCAUGAGAAGAUGCUGAAACAGAGAGGAAUUUGGUUUGCUGUUUGCUUAUUUUUUCCCCCAACAAAAAGCCCAGCUUUCCAGAAGGUCUUUAGAAAAUCAGUUUUUGUUUUAUUCCCCAUGACAAUCUUCUAAAAAGUCUUUUUAAAUCAAAGGAAAUAAAAGUGAGAGAAACCAAAGAAAAUAGGAAUUGUAAAUAAGAUGCUACUGCCUAAUAACCAAAUAGUAAAUAACGUUACAACACAGAAGAUUAAGGAGGUAAGAGCAGGAAUGUUUCCAAGUGUAGCUGAGUGGAGCCCACAGCGUGACCAACUUACUGACACACUUGUUUGCUCUGAGAAAACAAUUCACAGCACCACAAUUUGAAGUCGUACUAAAGAUGUAAAGGUAAAAACGACAGUCUCGGGGGCAUUAACUCUACGUGGACGUGUCUUUUCUUGGACUGAAACAUUUUUUUCAGUUUCUGGGUUUUGAUACAUGCAACAGAAAAACUGGAAAUUUGAUACAGAUUUGUUUCUUUCCAAGGGCAUUGUGUUAAUUAAAAUGCCAAUGCAGACGUCCAAUUUCUGCUCAGAGAUGUAGAGAGCAUGAAAGAGAGUCGUUCCCACACUUACAAUAAGAAAAUAGCAAGGCAAACUACAAAUUAAUGACUUAUAUUGGACCCAUUAGAGAACUGAGGUUGCAAGACAAACAAU